GACGAACGCUGGCGGCGUGCUUAACACAUGCAAGUCGAACGGAAAGGCCCUGCUUUUGUGGGGUGCUCGAGUGGCGAACGGGUGAGUAACACGUGAGUAACCUGCCCUUCACUUUGGGAUAACUUCCGGAAACUGGGGCUAAUACCGGAUAGGAGCUCCUGCUGCAUGGUGGGGGGUGGAAAUUUUCGGCGGUUGGGGCUGGACUCGCGGCUUAUCAGCUUGUUGGUGGGGUUGUGGCUUGCCAAGGCUUGGACGGGUCGCCGGACUGGGAGGGUGACCCGGCCAAGUUGGAUCCGGGAAGCGGCCAUGGGUCAUCGGGAGGGAGGGAGGGGGGACUGUUGGAGAAAGGCCGAAGGAGUGAUGAAGGACCGCGGGUUGUGGAGGACCGCCCUUCGGGUGGAAAGCCCUUUUGGCGGAUAGUGAGAAGGAGUGACGGUAAUGGGUAAAGAAGCACCGGCUAACUACGUG
rnacentral:rRNA from 1 species